GACGAACGCUGGCGGCGUGCUUAACACAUGCCAGUCGAACGGAAAGGCCCUGCUUUUGUGGGGUGCUCGAGUGGCGAACGGGUGAGUAACACGUGAGUAACCUGCCCUUGACUUUGGGAUAACUUCAGGAAACUGGGGCUAAUACCGGAUAGGAGCUCCUGCUGCAUGGUGGGGGUUGGAAAGUUUCGGCGGUUGGGGAUGGACUCGCGGCUUAUCAGCUUGUUGGUGGGGUAGUGGCUUACCAAGGCUUUGACGGGUAGCCGGCCUGAGAGGGUGACCGGCCACAUGGGGACUGAGAUACACCGCGGACUCAUCCGGGAGGCAGCAGGGGGGAGUGUGGCACAACGGCCGGAGGCUUGAUGCAGGAACCCCCCGGGGGGGAGGAGGGACUGCGGGUUGUAAACCACGUACCCCUGGGACACAGCGUGAGUGACGGUAAGGGAUAAGGAAGCACCGGCUAACUACGUG
rnacentral:rRNA from 1 species